rnacentral:rRNA from 1 species
AUUGAACGCUGGCGGCAGGCCUAACACAUGCAAGUCGAGCGAGCGGCGGACGGGUGAGUAAUGUCUGGGAAUCUGCCCGAUGGAGGGGGAUAACUACUGGAAACGGUGGCUAAUACCGCAUACUAUCGGAUGAACCCAGAUGGGAUUAGCUAGUAGGUGGGGUAAAGGCUAACCUAGGCUACGAUCUCUCGCUGGUCUGAGAGGCUGAACGGCCAAAGUGGGACUGAUACACGGCCCAGACUCCUACGGGAGGCAGCAGUGGGGAAUAUUGCACAAUGGGCGCAAGCCUGAUACAGCCAUGCCGCGUGUAUGAAGAAGGCCUUAGGGUUGUAAAGUACUUUCAGCGGGGAGGCGUUACCCGCAGAAGAAGCACCGGCUAACUCCGUGCCAGCAGCCGCGGUAAUAC